CAGUAGCCGCGGUAAUACAGAGGGUGCGAGCGUUAAUCGGAUUUACUGGGCGUAAAGCGUGCGUAGGCGGCUAAUUGAGUCGGAUGUGAAAUCCCCGAGCUUAACUUGGGAAUUGCAUUCGAUACUGGUUAGCUAGAGUGUGGGAGAGGAUGGUAGAAUUCCAGGUGUAGCGGUGAAAUGCGUAGAGAUCUGGAGGAAUACCGAUGGCGAAGGCAGCCAUCUGGCCUAAUACUGACGCUGAGGUACGAAAGCAUGGGGAGCAAACAGGAUUAGAUACCCCUGUAGUCCCUGUCUCUUAUAC
rnacentral:rRNA from 1 species